AUUGAACGCUGGCGGCAGGCCUAACACAUGCAAGUCGAGCGGAUGAGAAGAGCUUGCUCUUCGAUUCAGCGGCGGACGGGUGAGUAAUGCCUAGGAAUCUGCCUAUUAGUGGGGGACAACGUUUCGAAAGGAACGCUAAUACCGCAUACGUCCUACGGGAGAAAGCAGGGGACCUUCGGGCCUUGCGCUAAUAGAUGAGCCUAGGUCGGAUUAGCUAGUUGGUGAGGUAAUGGCUCACCAAGGCUACGAUCCGUAACUGGUCUGAGAGGAUGAUCAGUCACACUGGAACUGAGACACGGCCCAGACUCCUACGGGAGGCAGCAGUGGGGAAUAUUGGACAAUGGGGGGAACCCUGAUCCAGCCAUGCCGCGUGUGUGAAGAAGGUCUUCGGAUUGUAAAGCACUUUAAGUUGGGAGGAAGGGCAGUUACCUAAUACGUGAUUGUUUUGACGUUACCGACAGAAUAAGCACCGGCUAACUCUGUGCCAGCAGCCGCGGUAAUACAGAGGGUGCAAGCGUUAAUCGGAAUUACUGGGCGUAAAGCGCGCGUAGGUGGUUUGUUAAGUUGGAUGUGAAAUCCCCGGGCUCAACCUGGGAACUGCAUUCAAAACUGACUGACUAGAGUAUGGUAGAGGGUGGUGGAAUUUCCUGU
rnacentral:rRNA from 1 species